rnacentral:misc_RNA from 1 species
AAAGGCGAAACGUAAUGUGAAUCGCAACUAACAGUGAAUCAUCGAAUUUUUGAACGCAGGCCGCGCCUUCUUAUCAUAUUUUAUUAUAUGGUAUCGGAAGGCACCCGCAUUUGAGUGUCAGCCAAAUAUCUCUUUGGUUCAUGGGGGAAAUCCAUUUUUUGGAAUGGAUAUAACUUGUGAAUACACAAUAGUUUUCGAACAUAUCACUUGAAAUGUUUUAAACAAAGUGUCUGGCCUCAAGCGUGGGAGAUUACCCGCUGGAUUUAAGC